GAAAUGCGAUAAGUAAUGUGAAUUGCAGAAUUCAGUGAAUCAUCGAAUCUUUGAACGCACCUUGCGCUCCUUGGUAUUCCGAGGAGCAUGCCUGUUUGAGUGUCAUGAAAUUCUCAACUGCCUUUUAGCAUUUAUUGUUAAAGGUGAAGUUGGACUUGGAGGAUAACUGCUGGCGCAACUUAGGUUGCUUGUUAGCUCCUCUUAAAUGGAUGAGCUUUUCUGAUGGAUCAUAGCUCAGAGUAGUAUCAAUGUGAUAAUUAUCUACAUUAGAUGUGAAAGCUGUGAGUAGAGCAACUUUUUGCUCCUACAGAGAAGGAAAUGUUUUGGGGAUAAUAAACCCAUAUACAAUGACAAAUCUGACCUCAAAUCAGGUAGGACUACCCGCUGAACUUAA
rnacentral:misc_RNA from 1 species